rnacentral:lncRNA from 1 species
GCCUGGACUGCUGCCAACGGCUAUGUUUGGGUCCAAGGUUCCUCUCCAGCUGGGGUCUGUGUCAAUUUCUGUGGGCCAAGUUACCAAAAAAAGUCAUACAGAUGUCCCUGGUCCGGACUGCUGCCCGAGGCACUGUGCAGAGCUGGCUCUGCCCCUUGAUGGCCACUACACUCAAAAGAUCUGACUCUGGGGGCACGAGACAGCUGGCCCCAUCCUUCAUCUGCUAAGGCGUGGCAUGAGUGAGGGAAAGAUCUCCUCCCUGCUUGCCCGUCACUUCUUGCUGCCUGCGGCAGGUGGGAGAGCUGGCACUGAGGUAAUCCGAGUGAGAGAGCUGGCACUGUUCCUCACUGGCUGCAGCACUCAGGAAAGAGGUCUGCACUUCACCCAGGCAGCACGGAAGAAGCUCUGGUGUUGAAGGAGCAGGCAAGUCAAGGACCUAAGCUCAGGAGAGCUGACCCAGCCUCUUGGAAGCUACAGCACUGGGUAAGCCAGUCAGGGCAGUGUGGGAGAGCUUGCCUUGGUAAUGAUGCAGGUGCAGAAGAGCAGGCACACUGACCAAUUCAGCUACCUUCCAGGGCCAGAUCCAGGGCUUUAACUUGGCCCACCCCAACAUCUACUCCAUCGAUGAUCUGCUGGAGCAGGAGAAAAGAUUGGUCCUGCAGGUCCAAAGCUGCAGGAUCACUAUGACAAAGGACACUACCAGGAUAUCUCAGAGGAGUCCCAGUGAGGUUCCAAUAUAAAUAAUGUAUCCGAAGCUAGAUGCCUUGAACCAGACCACUCACUCAUUGCAAUGAACAUUUGCAAGAAGACAUGGAUAAAAGGGUGCAUUGUGACAUACUGUAGUUUCCAAGGCAAGGUUUUAAUUUUUUUUUCUUUUUUCUUUCCUUUUUCUGUCUCAUUUUCUAUGGUUGGGGGAAGGUUGCAAGGGAAGAGGGUUAGAAGGGACAGGGAAAUGAGUGGGAUUGGGGUGUACGAGGUGAAAUUCACAAUCAAUAAAAAGUUAAAAAAAAAAAAACCUUAGAAGGGGCAUGUUCAUUUGGGUGGAAGAACUCAUUAAGAAGG